GAUUUUUUUUUCCAAAGGGGGAUUACCACAAAUACAUAGAUAACUUUAAUGACAAAUUUUAAAAGGCUGGGGAGCCUCAGAAGGAGUGAUAAUCUGAACGGGAGAGCCAGGGACUCUCUCAUGGAGGAGUCUUGAAGGCUAAGAACAGGCCAUGAGAAGGCAUCAAGGUCUAAAAGGUGAUUGAAAGGAGAAAUAAGGAAGGAUAAAGUGGGGGGAGUCAGACGUGUUCACGAAGUCCUAGAAUACCGAACCAAGAGGUGCCUCCUCGAGACCAGAGAAGAAUGAACACAAUGAUACAUACAAAAAGAAGGCUCACUUACGUAGCCGGAAAGCAGGGGAAGGACGGUAGCCUGAUGGACCACGAACCAGACCCUGGAGAAUAUGGGUAUUAGAAGGCCUGGAUCCAGGGCACCCGGCUGGCUCAGUUGGUGGAGUGUGCGACUUUUGAUCUCGAGAUCAUGAGUUCGAGCCCCACAAUGGGCAUAGAGAUGAAUUCAUAAAAAAAAAUUAAAAAAAAAAAAAGGGGAGGCCUGGAUUCUAGUCCAAGCUCUGGCCCCUUCUGGCGGUAUGAACUUCCUUGACCAAGUCACUAUUCACUGAGCCUCAGUCUCCUCAUCUGUCAAACGGAGAGCAAUAGGUUGCUUCAAGUUCGAGGUGCCACAUUCCCUCGUUUCAAGGUAGCAGAGUUGAGGAGGAAGUCGGGCAGAACCCCGUUGGGGUACAUAGCUGUAGGCCCAGCAGUAGGAGCAGGGGCCGGCCGGAGCCUGGAGCUAGCUUCUGGGAGGAACGGCCUGCCAAGUUUCUGAGUCGUCCGGGACCCCUGUCUAGACUGGUUCUGGGAGGCUGGCAAAACACUCUGGGCCUUCGUGCCCGCUGAAGACAUUGACUCUGAAACAAAAGAGGUUGCUGGUUCUGCCUCUGCUCACUUCCUGCCCUAGGCUAUGACACCCGUGUGGCCCAGGGAAGGCUUCCUUAUCCUUGUUCGCUGCUGCUCGAAGGCCCCGAAUUCAAGCCUACACCCUCUCCUGCCCUCUAAGAGAUCGCACAUCUGCCAGCUGAGCUCCACCUCUGAUUGUCUCUGCAGUGUAUUUCCUCUUCCCUCCAGAAGGCUCCUUGCUCAACUCCAGUCGUCCUACUCUGCAGCCUUGACGUCAGUCCUCUUGGCUUUCGGCCCAUGCUCUUCUGGCCAGAGUGCCCUUGCUCACCUCAUCUGCCUGCAACUCCUGCUGGACCUUCGGAUUCGGUUUUUGAGUCACCUCCACUGUGGCCAAGUCAGAAGUUCCCUGCUCUGUGCUCCCAAAACACUUCGUGUAGACGUAGCACCAACAUCAUCUGUGCACCUGGACGUCUCAGACCUGUAGGCUCCCCGGGGGGAGAUGCUGGCUCAGAGCUGAACCCCGGGCGUGGGGCACACACUGCACAUGCUCACGGCACAUUUGUGCCAGCUCCAGGAGAAGCUUCGAGGAAAGAAGUCCGAGCGGUGCAGUGGGGUGUCCCGCCUUGUGGCCCCCUCAUGGAACUAAGCAGCGGGGUCCUCUCUGCAGGUACACGUAGAGCCACGCAAGCUUUGGGCUAGGAGACCACCACUCCCAUUCCAGCUUCGUCUCUCAAUUGCUUGCCGUGCGCCCUCGGGCAAGUCACUUCAUUCUUUCGCUAAGCAUUUAUGGGCGUGGUGGUGGCUUUAUUGUGUGUCACCUUAGCCAAGCUGGACUACAUUUCACAGAAUUGCCUUCUCUCUAGGGUCUUGGCCACGUUGGCACUGGCCACAGGAGAAGCGUGUGCGAGAUUUGGGAGGCUUAGGGGAAGUGCGGUUGCUUUGUGACACUCUGAACGUGGUGUAGGGCCCUCCCGCCAGCUCAGGAGCUCUCUGCUUAAACCCUGCUGGAUGCUCUG